UUCAAUCAAGUUUAUGAUCAAUUAAAUGUAGCAAGUAAUAAAAAUGAUAAUCAGAAUGGUGCUGUAAUUCGACCUAAUUCUCAAUUGGUCAGUCUUUUGAUGAUAAAAUCAAACAGAAUUUGUCCCCAUGGGAGAAAUGGAUUGAUGAGGUAUUUAUGAACUACUUAAAUGAUGAUACUGAUUGGGAUCGUGCUGAUGUUACUAGUAAUCUAGAGGGGAACCGGGUGAAUGAUAGUAUUCCUACUCUUGAUUUGAAUUCUGCUACAAGACGGAGAUUAUCUGACCCAUGGAAGUACUGUCUAAUAGGUAAAGUCAUGAAUAAAACUGUGGGAUUUAGAUAUAUUCAAGAGAAAACAAAUUCUAUGUGGAAACCCUUUAAGCAAAUCAAAAUCCUAGAUUUGGGGAAAGACUUUUUUUUUCAAGUUCUCUGAUGUGAGAGAUCUUAAGAAAGUAUUGCUAGAGGGUCCGUGGUUUAUUAAUGGACACCAUUUAGCGUUGAUCAAAUGGUAUCCAGGUUUUAAACCGUCAGAGGCCGUGUUCUCUAAAAUCAUUACAUGGAUUCUCCUUCCAGAUAUUCCUUUGGAGUAUUUCGAUAAAGAAAUUUUAUUUCAAAUUGGGAAUAAAAUUGGUAAAGCUGUGAAGAUUGAUGUGGUUACAUAGGGCUUAUCUAGAGGCAGAUUUGCGAGAAUUUGUGUUGAAAUUGAUUUGAUGAAGCCACUAAUUCCUGCAAUCAGGAUUGUAAAUGUUGUCCAACUAAUCACGUGUGAAGGAAUUACUUCAAUCUGUUUCUCUUGUGGAAGAGCUAAUCACAGAGCUUCCGAAUGCCCUUUUUCUGCAACAUAAAAACCAGAGGAAGUAGAGAAAAUAUUUUUUGCAACAACAUUCCAAGAAGACUGACAAAGUCGAAUCUUCUGAUGAUUUUUGGUCCAUGGAUGACUGUUGAGAGCCGGAGACAUCGUCGGAAUCAUAGUGACGGUUUGGUCAAUCUCGGAAGUGGAAAAAAUCCAAGUCCGUCACGAUAUCGACAUGAUUUUUGAAACCGGCAUAGUCAUAGUGGGGUUCCCCUAGAUGGUUCUAGGAAAGAAGCAUACCCAAAAUGGAUGGCAACCACUAUUCUCAAUCUGGCCGAGUUAGAAAUGUGGAUGAUGACCUCGAUCAAAAUUAAUUGGGUCAAGUUCUAUGAAUUAAUUGGCCGAGUUAGAAAUGUGGAUGAUGGACCUCGACCAAAAUUGGUGAGCAAUCGUCACCGAAAUACAAAGUUUUGGUUUUUCUAACCGGUCCAGACCACUUUUGAUUCAAAUUAUACAGAAGGACAGCUGAUUUGGUCCGUCUAGGUUUGGUAAGUUUGAAUUGUUUUUUCCAAGUUUACCCAUCCAGCAGAGUUAGUAGUCAAACCAUAGUUAGGUUUUAUAUUUAGGUUAGGAGGUUAGGAGAAACAGGUGGGUUUAAGAAACUGAUUGGGAUAUGGGUAGUCUAUAGGGAAGAGACGGGUUUUCUCUCUAUCAUAAGUACUUCAUCUAGGUUAAACACCAUUCGGAGCAGAAGUUGAUGGAGAAGCUGUAAUUCAAUUAUUUAUUCCAGACCCUAAUUAUGCAGUACAGGAUUUGUUGUUGAGGGUGACGAAUUAUAACAAAUGGCCAAUCAGUAGAUGAUAAUACAUUUGUUCUUACGGGAAGGCAUGUUUGGUACAUGUGAUUUAGCUAUUCCCAGUGUUGAUAGUGAACUCAUCACUGUUGGUAGUGAGUGAACUCGUUAUCUAUUUUCUAUCCACCCAUUGGUUUUCCGGCAUUUGCUACGAGUCAUGUACAUACAUAAGGUGGUGUUGUGAGAUUUUGUAAUAAACAAGCACGAUAUGUUAAAUUGAAACUGACCACUGUAUGAACGUAGGGCACCUUUGGAACUAAAAGAUUUUGUAAAAUACAUUUGCUUCAUAAGAAAUGAAAUUCAGAGGAUGCACCUCGGAUUGAGUAAAUGCACUUAUGUAUGUGAGUUGGAAAGAAUUCAAGGUGGUCCAGGUAGGCCUAGCACCACGGGAAAUGGUAUCAUUGUUCAGAUCUGCUAUAAUAUUCAUGGUAAAAGGUAAAGUAAAUUUAGUUUCAUAA